rnacentral:rRNA from 1 species
GAUGAACGCUGGCGGCGUGCCUAAUACAUGCAAGUCGAGCGAACGGACGAGAAGCUUGCUUCUCUGAUGUUAGCGGCGGACGGGUGAGUAACACGUGGAUAACCUACCUAUAAGACUGGGAUAACUUCGGGAAACCGGAGCUAAUACCAGAUAAUAUUAUGAACCGCAUGGUUCAAAAGUGAAAGACGGUCUUGCUGUCACUUAUAGAUGGAUCCGCGCUGCAUUAGCUAGUUGGUAAGGUAACGGCUUACCAAGGCAACGAUGCAUAGCCGACCUGAGAGGGUGAUCGGCCACACUGGAACUGAGACACGGUCCAGACUCCUACGGGAGGCAGCAGUAGGGAAUCUUCCGCAAUGGGCGAAAGCCUGACGGAGCAACGCCGCGUGAGUGAUGAAGGUCUUCGGAUCGUAAAACUCUGUUAUUAGGGAAGAACAUAUGUGUAAGUAACUGUGCACAUCUUGACGGUACCUAAUCAGAAAGCCACGGCUAACUACAUG